UUUGCCUUUAUAAAUAUGCUCCAUUUUUUCCUCAUUCAUACCAUGUUCUUCAUUGCCUUCCCAUUCACAACCAAAUACAAGUUUUUGUGAUGACUAUGAUGAAGAGGACCCUUCUUCUCUUUGCCGUCUUCUUGCUGCUCGUGUUUACAGAUGCGACCAUGCACAGCGUGAUUAAGAAGAAAGAUGCGCGUAAGCUAGCUCAAAGAUUUAGUGGUCAAAUCCCUGAAACGGGAGUGUUUGGUGGUGUGAAUGAUUCUGAAGAUGCUGACGUUGGCAUGAACAACAACGAAGAUGAGGACGAUGAAAAUCUUGGUUAUAAAAACUACGGAAAGGGUUCGGAUACCGAAACUCACCGUUACUUCUCAAGCGAGAAGCCAUACAGACCCUAAAAAAAUAUAUCCCGAUCACCAUCAUCGUCGUCAUCUCAGCUUGUGAAUUGUAAAGGAAAAAAAAUAAUGUUUUUCUCUUGUAAUAAAGUGGAAUGUCUGAGACGGGUAAGCUUCGGCGUUUCACACAGUGAUGUUUGGUUGUUUGUUGUGUGUUGUGAAAAAAUAUAAUGUAUUAAAAAUCUUAUGUUAUGUUAAAUGAUUUGGGUGGUAUGAUUAAUAUAUAAAGUUGGUGAUCAUAUAUUAUA